GACGUAGGGGGCCAGCGUUGUUCGGAAUUACUGGGUGUAAAGGGUUCGUAGGCGGUGUGGCAAGUCGGGAGUGAAAUCUCUGGGCUCAACUCAGAGACUGCUUCCGAAACUGCUGUGCUGGAGUGUGGGAGAGGCGCGUGGAAUUGCAGGUGUAGCGGUGAAAUGCGUAGAUAUCUGCAGGAACACCCGUGGCGAAAGCGGCUACCUGGACAGAAACUGACGCUGAGGCGCGAAAGCUAGGGGAGCAAACAGG
rnacentral:rRNA from 1 species